rnacentral:rRNA from 1 species
UACAGAGGGGGCAAGCGUUGUCCGGAAUCACUGGGCGUAAAGCGCGCGCAGGCGGUCAUUUACGUCUGGGGUGAAAGCCCGGAGCUCAACUCCGGGAUUGCCUUGGAUACGGGAUGACUUGAGGAUCGGAGAGGCAAGGGGAAUUCCACGUGUAGCGGUGAAAUGCGUAGAGAUGUGGAGGAACACCUGUGGCGAAGGCGCCUUGCUGGCCGAUUUCUGACGCUGAGGCGCGAAAGCGUGGGGAGCAAACAGG